AUUAGCAUUAGCAUGUUUCUCACCAGUCUGUCAGUUCCUCAUCUCUCUCUCCAGCAAGUAACCCCAGAGUGCAGUCUGGACGAUGGGGCGGGGCGACACUUCGAGGCGGAGCGACACGUGUCGCCCCGCCCAUAUUUGUUUUCCCCGCCUUUGACAUUUUUCUCCGAGCCAGCAGGGGGCAGUUUGCGUUGAAACAAACAGAACGGUGGCAACUACAGCAGCAGAGUAAUAACGCUAUUCCGUUGAUUGCUUGAGGAUGACAUGAUCAGGAGGUGGUGGUGUUCUGUUCUCCUGGACAGCUUUACUCCGCAAAUAGCUCAACCACUGAGGGGAGGAACUUCACCAUUCACCAUGUCUUCAGGCAGAGUCCAGCAAAGCAGCUUCCACUGGAAAUCCUCAGGGAAGUUAUUUUGUCGGCUGGUGACUCUGCAUAUUUGACACUUUCUCUGGUUUGCAGAUGGUUUAGGGAUGUGCUCCGAAGUUUUUCGGAAAGCGGCACAGUUUGCCUGGCUAGACAUUGUGGCCAACUGGAAGCAUUGUCCUCCUGUCUCCUGACCGGAACGAGUUCAGACGGAUGUACAGCAUCAGGGAAUGCGUGCAGUGCAGAGCCCUUUUCAAGUUUAACCCACCAGGGUACAGGGAAGAGGCCGGCGUGGUGAUCUUCUGGGCUUUUGUUUACACAGGAUUUUGUUCCAAGGACUGUUUUUUUUUUUGCGGCAUGAAACACAUUUGUGUGUUAAGUUCAUUGAAGGGAAAUAGAGAAUGGACUGAGAUCAACUGGUUUUGAUGUAUUAAUUGAUGUCAUUUAAAGUUAAACUUUGCAGUGUAUAAUGUUUUAAUAAAAAAACUAUGGAAAACACGUGCAUGAUAACAGGUUUCAGUCAUUUACAUCAGUCUAUCAUUCUUUAAGGUUUCUCAUAUUUGAUGAUAACAUGAUUUGCUAUGCAUUGCUCAUAAUGGAUUCUUAAUUUAGUUGUGACAGGAUUGUGAGGAUUAAUGAGGUUUUCAGUAGUGCAGUUCAUCAGAAAACAAAUAACAGAAAGUAACAAGUGUUUUUGGGCAAGUUCUUUAGAACCUGUAUAGUUCCUUCCUUGCAAAAAGUAACCAUGGAUUUAUUGUAGUAAAAAUAUUUGUUGGCAUAUUAAUUACUGUGAGCUGUAAUUAUAA